UCGUUGAGCAGGCACUUUGGUGACUCUAGAUAACCUCUGGUUGAUCGCACAUCCCCGUGAUGGCGACAUUGCAUUCAGAUGUCUGCCCUAUCAACUUUAGAUUGUACUUUCUGCGCUUACCAUGGUGACCAUGGGUAAUGAGGAAUCAAGGUUCAAUUCUGGAGAGGGAGCCUGAGAAACGGCUACCACAUCCAAGGAAGGCAGCAGGCGCGCAAAUUACCCACUCCCGACGAGGGGAGGUAGUGAUGA